rnacentral:rRNA from 1 species
UAAAAGUCGUAACAAGGUUUCCGUAGGUGAACCUGCGGAAGGAUCAUUAUUGAAUAAAAUUGAACAAGGCUGUUGCUGGCCUCUCGGUUGUGCACGUCUUGUCUCAUCUUUAUCAUUUCUCCCACUGUGCACAUUUUGUAGACCCUGGAGUCUUUGGAAUUCAUUUUUCGUGUUGGGACUGCUGUGCUUGAAAGUCGGCUUUGCCUUGCAUCUCCAGGUCUAUGUUUUCAUAUAACCUCUCUGUUUGGAAUGUUCCUAUAAUAUAUACAACUUUCAGCAACGGAUCUCUUGGCUCUCGCAUCGAUGAAGAACGCAGCGAAAUGCGAUAAGUAAUGUGAAUUGCAGAAUUCAGUGAAUCAUCGAAUCUUUGAACGCAUCUUGCGCUCCUUGGUAUUCCGAGGAGCAUGCCUGUUUGAGUGUCAUUCAAAACUUCUCAACCACAUUGAAUGAUGUGGCUUGGAUUGUGGGGGUCUUUUUUGCAGGCUUUCUCAAGAAGGUCGGCUCCCCUGAAAUGCAUUAGUGGUAUCUGUGCUACUAUGGUGUGAUAAAUUAUCUAUGCCUUUGGUAUGCUGCAUGAACUGCUUCUAAUUUAUAUCAUGAAUUUGACCUCAAAUCAGGUAGGACUACCCGCUGAACUUAAGCAUAUCAAUAAGCGGAGGAAAAGAAACUAACAAGGAUUCCCCUAGUAACUGCGAGUGAAGCGGGAAGAGCUCAAAUUUGUAAUCUGGCAGUUCUUGAACUGUCCGAGUUGUAAUCAGAGAAAGUAUUUCC